UACGGGGGGAGCAAGCGUUGUUCGGAUUUACUGGGCGUAAAGGGCGCGUAGGCGGCCACUGCAAGUCAGUUGUGAAAUCUCCGGGCUUAACUCGGAAAGGUCAGCCGAUACUGCGGGGCUAGAGUGCAGAAGGGGCAACUGGAAUUCUCGGUGUAGCGGUGAAAUGUGUAGAGAUCGGGAGGAACACCGGUGGCGAAGGCGGGUCUCUGGGCAAUUCCUGACGCUGAGGCGCGAAAGCGUGGGGAGCAAACGGG
rnacentral:rRNA from 1 species